rnacentral:rRNA from 1 species
UACGAAGGGGGCUAGCGUUGCUCGGAAUCACUGGGCGUAAAGCGCACGUAGGCGGCUUGUUAAGUCAGGGGUGAAAUCCUGGAGCUCAACUCCAGAACUGCCUUUGAUACUGAUGAGCUUGAGUUCGGGAGAGGUGAGUGGAACUGCGAGUGUAGAGGUGAAAUUCGUAGAUAUUCGCAAGAACACCAGUGGCGAAGGCGGCUCACUGGCCCGGUACUGACGCUGAGGUGCGAAAGCGUGGGGAGCAAACAGG